UACUAUUGAUAGGUUAUUCAACAUUUGCUAUAAUCAUGUAUCUUAUAGCUAAUAUUGGAUGCAAAUUAAUGGUUCUUUUUUUCAAUUAAUUGUCUGAACAUGAUGGCUCAAUCUUAAUGAGUUUGCUGGAAAGGUAUUGACUUUAAAAUUAGUAAAUGUUAGAAGUUAGAUAUCAUAUCUGGUCUUUGUAAGGCCUGAAUCGUCGUCAUACUAUCACUUUCAAUUUGUAUGGCAGUAGUAAGAUCACGUGUUUUCACCCAGCUCAAAGCCUCCCUGAUAGAUAAAGCUUCUGCCAUUAACGAGCUAGCCACCACACCUAGGUCCAUCAACUUGCCACCCAAACAGAAGCCAAGAUGGUCACGCAAAAUCCAACCGCCACCAGCCCUAUGGGUAUUAAGAUCAAAAGCUGCAUCAACGUUAAGUUUCAGAGUACCUUGCAAAGGAGGAUGCCAUAUCGACGUAGCCUUGGCACCUACAGCUGCAUGGUAUCGCGUCUUUGAUGCCAUAAUGUGAAUUUUGUUAUGUUUAGUAAUUCUUUUGUUAAGAAAAUAAAGAAUGUACUAAAGAAAUAAUGAUUUAAUAAUAGA
rnacentral:lncRNA from 1 species